AGAGUUUGAUCCUGGCUCAGGAUGAACGCUAGCGACAGGCUUAACACAUGCAAGUCGAGGGGCAGCGGGGAGUGAGGCUUGCCUUACUUUGCCGGCGACCGGCGCACGGGUGAGUAACACGUAUGCAACCUACCCUUUACAGCGGGAUAACCGGAAGAAAUUUCGCCUAAUACCGCAUAUACUCCUUGGGAGGCAUCUUCCGAGGGGGAAAGAAUUUCGGUGAAGGAUGGGCAUGCGUCGCAUUAGUUAGUUGGCGGUGUAACGGACCACCAAGACGACGAUGCGUAGGGGUUCUGAGAGGAAGGUCCCCCACACUGGUACUGAGACACGGACCAGACUCCUACGGGAGGCAGCAGUGAGGAAUAUUGGUCAAUGGCCGAGAGGCUGAACCAGCCAAGUCGCGUGAGGGAAGAAUGUCCUAUGGAUUGUAAACCUCUUUUGUCAGGGAGCAAAGUCACCCACGUGUGGGUGUUGGAGAGUACCUGAAGAAAAAGCAUCGGCUAACUCCGUGCCAGCAGCCGCGGU
rnacentral:rRNA from 1 species